UCAGUAACACGUAGUCAACAUGCCCAGGGGGACGUGGAUAACCUCGGGAAACUGAGGAUAAACCGCGACAGGUCACUACUUCUGGAAUGGGUAAUGACCCAAACCUAUAUGGCCCCUGGAUUGGGCUGCGGCCGAUCAGGCUGUUGGUGAGGUAAUGGCCCACCAAACCUGUAACCGGUACGGGCUCUGAGAGGAGGAGCCCGGAGAUGGGCACUGAGACAAGGGCCCAGGCCCUAUGGGGCGCAGCAGGCGCGAAACCUCUGCAAUAGGCGAAAGCUUGACAGGGUUACUCUGAGUGAUCUCCGUUAAGGAGAUCUUUUGGCACCUCUAAAAAUGGUGCAGAAUAAGGGGUGGGCAAGUCUGGUGCCAGC
rnacentral:rRNA from 1 species